CUGCCCCGGUUAACGGGAGGAAGGUGGGGACGACGUCAAGUCAUCAUGGCCCUUACGCCUAGGCUACACACGUACUACAAUGGCGCAUACAAAGGGCAGCGAUACCGCGAGGUGGAGCCAAUCCCAAAAGUGCGUCCCAGUCCGGAUUGCAGUCUGCAACUCGACUGCAUGAAGUUGGAAUCGCUAGUAAUUCGAGAUCAGCAUGCUCGGGUGAAUGCGUUCCCGGGCCUU
rnacentral:rRNA from 1 species